GGAAGCUUUAUUCUUUAGAUAUGAAGGAGAGGGCUCAUGUUACCAACUGGGUACUUCAGCCAACCAAGAAUGCUCCUAAAAUACCUUCCUGGACUCGUUUGGGUUCAUCCACAGAAUUAGAUUCUAACACAACAUUUUGGACAGAUCUUGUGAGCCUGUGUUUCAUGAUCCAGAUUUCAGAUUCCAAAUUAAGAAAGUGAGCUGAUGGCCAUAUCAAUGUGUAACAAGAUACGUGCGAAGCCAGCACUGGCCAUUAAAUAGUGAGUGAUGUGUUGUGAGACUCAGGGAGCUCUCCCCUCCCUGGGCACAAAGGUCCUCUUGUCUUUCUGGGAUGGACAGCCUGUUUCUUCUGCUAUAAGCGUAGGUUAAAGGUUGGGUUUGUAGGUGCUUGGAAGAGUUUGGAAUGGUAUCUGUAGUUCAGAGCUCGGGUCUUGGUUGACCUAUUUUCUAGGAUUGGUCUUGACUUGGGAGCUUUUUCUCCUGGCUCAGCUAGGCUUUGAUGGUGUUAGAAAUGAAAGAGAAUUUUUCUAAAACUAAAUUUGUGGGCUAAUAGAUGCCUGUUUGAACAGUUUAACCUUCCAGUGAGUGCAAACCUAGGCUGCAGGUGAUGUGUGGCCCAGGCUGGGGAACAGUGGUCUUGGGCCACCAUGUUAGAUGUGUUUCACUCACUCACUCACUCACUCACUCACUCACUCACUCACAUACUCACAUUCUCUACUGGCUAUUUAAAGGGGUCAUUUUUUCCCAUAUUAGCUGCCAGAAAUUGUUGAAAAGUCUAAAAGACUGGUUCAAACAUCAUAUCAAAAAGUCUCUAAAUGGUGGUUUCAGAAUGACCAAAAGUUCAUAAAGCAGAGCUGUUCGCUGGAUGGGAGCCUAGGUUGACGUAACAGCUGAUGAACACUAGUGGCUGGAGAAGUGAGUGACAUGCAGCAGCACCUUUAAAAAUGUUGUAAUGUUUUCUGCUUAUGUGGGGCUUGUUCUAUUUUGACUUUCAUUAGGCUGAAGUAGUAAAUGAAUUGCACAUUUUAUUAUUGCAGGAAUUAGAAUCCUUUUCCUACUGGUAAGGCUGACUGUUGAUGUUUGAGCAGGGAUACGUGACUGAAUGUUGGUCACAUUUACUUGGAAACACCUGCCAUCCUUAUCAAAACAGAGGUGUUGUGUUCUCUCUUGCUUGAAGGGAAACAGUUUGGAUUCUGGUGCAAAGUUGAACUCUGGCAGGUACCAGAAUGUAUCAUUUACAAAGUCCAGGGUGCCUAGAGCCCGGCAUUUUGUUUUCUCAUAGUUUUCCUGCCUUUGGGAAGUCUUCUUAGGAAUAUAAGUUGGGACAGUUUCUGUAGCAUACUGUGUGUGUGUGUGUGUGUGUGUGUGUGUGUGUCUGUCUGUCUGUCUGUCUGUCUGUCUGUCUCGGGAAGGGAGGCUUAUGACAGAAAAUGGGGGUACUGGUUAGUGCUCUGUAUUGUAAAGUCAGACUAUUGGACGAUCCAGUCACUGGGUGCAUCUGAUGGCACUGCUUACCCACGGGCCUUGGCUGUAAGGUCAGGGCAAGACCUGGAAGGCUUAGCAGCUGGUGACUCAGCAGCUGUUCCCCCUGCCUUGUUAAAGCACUGCUUUGAGAUUCCAGGUGGAAGCUUUUGUUGCUAGUGCCUCAGUGAUUGGAUUUGGCGUGGCUGAUGCAAGAGACAGAAGAGCCCCCUGGGGUUUAUUAUUCGUUAGGAACCUAGAAUAUUGAGGGUGGCAGCCUCUGUGAAGUGAGGUGUCUGUUUCUUUGGAUAAGGCUGCGUGCCCAGUAAUGCCUUUGUGGAGAGACCAGUAAUCCUUGUCGGAGGGGUGCUGUGUGUCUUGGGGGACAUGUACGUGCCUGUCUCAGCCUUCGCUGAGAAGUCUGUGCUGACCGAGAUCACCACUCUCUGUUGCCAGUCUUCUCCCUGUCCUCUGGGAAGGAGGGGAGACUCCCCAUGUCGCCCACAGGGUCUGGCUUGUGUCUGUUCUGACGGACCUCGUGUUCUCUCCCCAGGAAGAGGAGGAGCAGGAGGAGGAAGAUGACGACGACGACGACGACGACACAGACGACCUAGACGAGCUGGACACUGACCAGCUGCUGGAGGCAGAGUUGGAGGAAGAUGACAACAAUGAGAACGCAGGGGAGGACGGGGACAAUGACUUUUCUCCCUCUGACGAGGAGCUAGCAAACCUUCUAGAGGAGGGAGAGGACGGGGAGGACGAAGACUCUGAUGCAGACGAGGAAGUGGAGCUGAUCCUGGGGGACACCGACAGCGCUGACAGCUCUGAUCUGGAAGAUGACAUCAUCUUAUCUCUGAAUGAGUGAGGAGCCAUCACCACAUGGGAGAUUCUUGGCAGGCGAGAAACUGAGUCAGAUGCAUUCAGAACACCUUCCCUCCCCUUCCUCCCAGGGCUGUGCAUGGCCUGCACUCAGAGGACUUGUAGCUUAGAGUCCCACUGGGACCUGAGGGCCCUUCCCAAACAGUAACUACCACAGCAAGACAGUGGGUUAGGCCCUAGUCUGCUUCCCCUUCUAGGAUGGACAUAGCUUUCCUCAAGGAAAAAAAAACCUGUCUCUGGGGUUAUUUCACAAUAUAUUUUCUUUGUAUAAUGUUCUUUACUUAAAGAACAAGAAAUAGUUUUUUAUAAAACUUAAAAAGAAAAAAAAAGCCAGGCAUUUAUAGAUGAGGGUAUGAACUUAUAUCCACCAGGUCUUGUCCCUGCACUUCAUUUUCUAUGGAAGAAAAUGACAUCUAAAGAACAAUAGAGAGGCAUUUUUACAUACGUAUUUAAAUGAAAAGGAAAAUCGUGGUUUCUUAAAUUGAUAAGGAUUAAGAAUAUUUUAUUAUAAAUAUAAUAUAUGAUUUUUAACCUGUUUUCGUUGCCUCAUAUGCUGUCAGGUUAAUUUGCUUUCCUUCGUGCCAGAGCUUGUUCGCCGAGUAAAUGCCUCGCCCCACGCAGCUUCGUGGUCUGGGCAGCGAGGUCGGUGUGGGUGGGUUCUGUGGAGUUCAGGGAACUUAGGAUAUGAGUUCACUCCCUCUAUUUUUCUUUGUCAUUCAGUUUUUAAAAAAUCUUUUUUUCUUCUCUUUCUCCCCAAUGUGGAAAUUAUAAAUCAAAGGCCUUUUUCUUUAAUGUAAAGUGUAUUUAUUUAAAAAAAAUACAAAAUAAACUACAAGUCUGUCUUUGUUGAUGGCCUUUCCCUGUCCUCUUUUACCAAAGUGGGAUCUGUCCCUUUCUUUGCAGCUCUAGCCAGGCAGUAGAGAAGACGCCUUCCGAGAGGCGGUCCGGACGGUGGUGAGGACAGUCUGCCCAAAUAAAGCCCUUGGGGAGCAAAGUGCUUAGCCCCAGUGUGUGCCCCUGGUCUGCAGCUCACCCCACAGGGACUGCCUGUAAGACUGCCACACGGGGCUGAGGGAGGCACUCAGGGCAUUGGCCACUGUGGACACAUCUCUCUGUCCCCGGCUUCUGAAUCAAGAAGGCAGCUCUGGAUUACAGGUUUGGGGGAACUGGAAAGUUGGGGGAGCUGGAAAGCUAGGGGUCUGGGGACGUUUGGGGGAGUGAACUGGCAAAGCUAAGGAGUGAAAGCAUUUGGCCAUACCUGUACUGUAGCUGGGUGACUGUACGUUUCCUGAAAGGCAGUGUCAUAGGGACUUGGGUAGUUUAGGGGCAGCUGAGGCUUGGUCAGGCUGGUUUGCAGGUAUUUCACAGGCCCCUAACACUGGCUUGUGGUUAACCCAUGCUGCCACCAAGGACAGAUACCUGGCACUUUCACCUUUACACCCAUCCCGCCCCACCUUCCCACCAUAAAUGGGAGGCCCUCGUCCCUUUUUGUCUCUGAGUUUGCCCAAGUAAUGGCUUCUCGGUUUUUAUUAUGUGGGUCUUCUAUACAGCUAAAGCCUUUUCUCCCUUAGCUGAGAAGAGGGGACAAAUUUGGUUGUGAAGUAAACAAGCAAGACAAGGCAGCUAA